rnacentral:rRNA from 1 species
UACAGAGGUCUCAAGCGUUGUUCGGAUUCAUUGGGCGUAAAGGGUGCGUAGGCGGCGCGGUAAGUCGGGUGUGAAAUCUCGGAGCUUAACUCCGAAACUGCAUUCGAUACUGCCGUGCUCGAGGACUGUAGAGGAGAUCGGAAUUCACGGUGUAGCAGUGAAAUGCGUAGAUAUCGUGAGGAAGACCAGUUGCGAAGGCGGAUCUCUGGGCAGUUCCUGACACUGAGGCACGAAGGCCAGGGGAGCAAACGGG